rnacentral:rRNA from 1 species
GACGAACGCUGGCGGCGUGCUUAACACAUGCAAGUCGAGCGGGGAACUUCGGUUCGCAGCGGCGGACGGGUGAGUAACACGUGGGUAACCUGCCUCAUAGUGGGGAAUAGCCUUCCGAAAGGAAGAUUAAUACCGCAUAAUACUCGGAAAUCACAUGAUUUCUGAGCCAAAGGAUUUAUUCGCUAUGAGAUGGACCCGCGGCGCAUUAGCUUGUUGGUGAGGUAACGGCUCACCAAGGCUUCGAUGCGUAGCCGAGCUGAGAGGGUGAUCGGCCACAUUGGCACUGAGACACGGUCCAGACUCCUACGGGAGGCAGCAGUGGGGAAGAUUGCACCAUGGGGGAAACCAUCAUGCAGCAACGCCGCGUGAGUGAUGAAGGUCUUCGGAUCGUAAACCUCUGUCUUAUGGGACGAUAAUGACGGUACCAUAGGAGGAAGCCACGGCUAACUACGUGCCAGCCGCCGCCGUAA